UUUAUCUAUCUUAUACUGUUUUAUUUUUGCUUAUCAUUUCACAUUUUGUCUUAUUUUGAAUAUUAUGUUUUAUAUAAUUAUUAGUUAGUGUUUGUAAAACACUUACUAAUUUUGAUUGCUUUUAGAUUUUGGAUACUGCCUCUACCAUUAACAAAUUAAAAAUAAAAGAAGCACUUCAUAUUAAAUGGGAAAAUCCUAAAUAUAAAUUUAUCUAACUAACUUACUACAUUAUUAUUGUUAUUUUAAUAUUAGGAGCUCUAAAGACCCAAACCGAAAAGAAUGUCUAAAGUGGUUUUCAAAAAAUGAAUUGACGAAUUUCUUAAUUCUUUUUGAUUCGUUGUGAUAAUUUGUCUUAUGAGAACGCUAACGAGAAAAAACUUUUUAAAUAUAGAAACAUGCGUAAUAUAAAGUAAAGAUCAACAAUACGUUUACUUAUGCCUAUAAAAAAAUAUGUUUUACAUUAAUUAAUAAAUUAACUUUUUAGUUUCUUGUUAAAAAUUGUAUUCUGUAUUAAAGUUAAUUUCUGAGAAUUUGUAAUUAUACCUAAGAUAAUCUAAUCCUACAUUGUAUUUUAAUUUAUAAAACUCGAUAUUUUAAAAUAAAAAUAUUACUUUUUUAUCGCG